GACUAUUUUAUGACUGUUCAAUUGCUUGCAUUACUGAGUUCGGUAUACAAUCUUUCUUUAGCACAGAACUGGGCUAACAGCUGUGGAGUGUGCACCCCAACGCCACGCCUCUGCUAUUGGUAUGCUGAAAAGCCUGUUGCCGCUCUAGGCAACGUGGCGUUAUUGGAUUUUUUUCGACACAUCAGCAUUGAAAGAUGAACAAGGCACCCCCAACGCUAAACAAGAUUAAGUGGCAUUCCUUUUCACUUUCUAUCACUCCUCUGCA